UGUGGGAGCGGGCUUGCCCGCGAUAACGGUGUGUCAUUCAACGAUGAUGUUGACUGGCAGUCCGCAAUCGCGGGCAAGCCCGCUCCCACA
rnacentral:misc_RNA from 1 species